rnacentral:siRNA from 1 species
GGAGUGUUAACGGUGAGUCUA